GAUGAACGCUGGCGGCGUGCCUAAUACAUGCAAGUCGAGCGAACGGACGAGAAGCUUGCUUCUCUGAUGUUAGCGGCGGACGGGUGAGUAACACGUGGAUAACCUACCUAUAAGACUGGGAUAACUUCGGGAAACCGGAGCUAAUACCGGAUAAUAUUUUGAACCGCAUGGUUCAAAAGUGAAAGACGGUCUUGCUGUCACUUAUAGAUGGAUCCGCGCUGCAUUAGCUAGUUGGUAAGGUAACGGCUUACCAAGGCAACGAUGCAUAGCCGACCUGAGAGGGUGAUCGGCCACACUGGAACUGAGACACGGUCCAGACUCCUACGGGAGGCAGCAGUAGGGAAUCUUCCGCAAUGGGCGAAAGCCUGACGGAGCAACGCCGCGUGAGUGAUGAAGGUCUUCGGAUCGCAAAACUCUGUUAUUAGGGAAGAACAUAUGUGUAAGUAACUGUGCACAUCUUGACGGUACCUAAUCAGAAAGCCACGGCUAACUACGUGCCAGCAGCCGCGGUAAUACGUAGGUGGCAAGCGUUAUCCGGAAUUAUUGGGCGUAAAGCGCGCGUAGGCGGUUUUUUAAGUCUGAUGUGAAAGCCCACGGCUCAACCGUGGAGGGUCAUUGGAAACUGGAAAACUUGAGUGCAGAAGAGGAAAGUGGAAUUCCAUGUGUAGCGGUGAAAUGCGCAGAGAUAUGGAGGAACACCAGUGGCGAAGGCGACUUUCUGGUCUGUAACUGACGCUGAUGUGCGAAAGCGUGGGGAUCAAACAGGAUUAGAUACCCUGGUAGUCCACGCCGUAAACGAUGAGUGCUAAGUGUUAGGGGGUUUCCGCCCCUUAGUGCUGCAGCUAACGCAUUAAGCACUCCGCCUGGGGAGUACGACCGCAAGGUUGAAACUCAAAGGAAUUGACGGGGACCCGCACAAGCGGUGGAGCAUGUGGUUUAAUUCGAAGCAACGCGAAGAACCUUACCAAAUCUUGACAUCCUUUGACAACUCUAGAGAUAGAGCCUUCCCCUUCGGGGGACAAAGUGACAGGUGGUGCAUGGUUGUCGUCAGCUCGUGUCGUGAGAUGUUGGGUUAAGUCCCGCAACGAGCGCAACCCUUAAGCUUAGUUGCCAUCAUUAAGUUGGGCACUCUAAGUUGACUGCCGGUGACAAACCGGAGGAAGGUGGGGAUGACGUCAAAUCAUCAUGCCCCUUAUGAUUUGGGCUACACACGUGCUACAAUGGACAAUACAAAGGGCAGCGAAACCGCGAGGUCAAGCAAAUCCCAUAAAGUUGUUCUCAGUUCGGAUUGUAGUCUGCAACUCGACUGCAUGAAGCUGGAAUCGCUAGUAAUCGUAGAUCAGCAUGCUACGGUGAAUACGUUCCCGGGUCU
rnacentral:rRNA from 1 species